UAAAGUGUGGAGAAUAUAGAUUUAUAUAUAUUGCUUUGAACAUCUGCCAAGCAGUAGAAGAGGCAAAUUAGGAAGUGUUUAGUAAGAUACUUCUAGAAGCUAAGUUAGUUCUAGGCUGCAUAUCAGGCAUCCUGAGUACCCAUUGAUUGGUACCAAUUUACUUAGCAUUCAUGGGUGAGGUUUCACUUGUUCACGGACUUUGAAUCCCUGGUGUGUAUGGCAGUGGUUAUUACAGUGGCUAUACAAACUGAUGUCAUGCUAAUUGCCAAAGGUUUGGAACUCUUCCAUAUUUGAAGGCUGCUGGAUUUGUUGUCCACUUAUUAAAUGGCUAAAUGAAUGAGACUAAUAACAGGAAAUGCAUUGGAAUGGAAAAUUUUUAAUAAUACCUCUGAGUAUUCAUUGAUGGCAAGUUCGAUUAUGUCAUGUGAUGAUCACUUCAAAAUCCUAUGUCAGAUAGAUAAAAAUUCCAAAGCUUGCAAGCCUAAAAUUUACCCUGUGCAGAAUUUUGAGUUUCAUGAUUUUACAUCCUAGGCUUCUAUAAUAGGAUAUCAGCGGAGAAUGGAAUCAUUAGAGGAGACACAGAGUAGAUGAAAUAAUUAUGAGAAAAGUGAAUGAAAUAACAUUAGAGUAACAUUAUAACAAUUAGCUAAAGCAUCCUUGCACAACUGGAGAAAACUGAUAAUUUGGAUGACUCAUCGAGCAAAACAAAGAUCCCUGUCCUUUUGGAACUUAUAUUCUAGCAGCAGGAGAAAGAAAAUAAUAAACAACAGACU